AGCUUUGACUCAUAACCAGUUCCACUGGUUUCCGGAUGGAUUCAUCACUGGUGCCAAUCUGCGUCUUGUGAGUCUUGGAUAUAAUAACCUCACCAUUUUCCCACUUACAGGAUUUGGAAGUUUACCUCAUCUCAUGUACUUAGGUUUGGAAGGAAACUUGAUGAAGAAGAUUUCUGUGAAGCAUCUUUCACCGUUCAAAACUGAUACAUUUGUUCACCU